rnacentral:rRNA from 1 species
GAUGAACGCUGGCGGCGUGCCUAAUACAUGCAAGUCGAGCGAACGGACGAGAAGCUUGCUUCUCUGAUGUUAGCGGCGGACGGGUGAGUAACACGUGGAUAACCUACCUAUAAGACUGGGAUAACUUCGGGAAACCGGAGCUAAUACCGGAUGAUAUUUUGAACCGCGUGGUUCAAAAGUGAAAGACGGUCUUGCUGUCACUUAUAGAUGGAUCCGCGCUGCAUUAGCUAGUUGGUAAGGUAACGGCUUACCAAGGCAACGAUGCAUAGCCGACCUGAGAGGGUGAUCGGCCACACUGGAACUGAGACACGGUCCAGACUCCUACGGGAGGCAGCAGUAGGGAAUCUUCCGCAAUGGGCGAAAGCCUGACGGAGCAACGCCGCGUGAGUGAUGAAGGUCUUCGGAUCGUAAAACUCUGUUAUUAGGGAAGAACAUAUGUGUAAGUAACUGUGCACAUCUUGACGGUACCUAAUCAGAAAGCCACGGCUAACUACGCG